rnacentral:tRNA from 1 species
CAGGUAAUAGCUUAUGCGUAAAGUUUAUUUUUUACAUAAAUAAGGAAAAUAUAUUAAUGUUUUAUCUGG